GUAACCCUACGGAGGCAGCAGUGGGGAAUAUUGGGCAAUGGGCGCAAGCCUGACCCAGCAACGCCGCGUGAAGGAAGAAGGCUUUCGGGUUGUAAACUUCUUUUGUCAGGGACGAAGCAAGUGACGGUACCUGACGAAUAAGCCACGGCUAACUACGUGCCAGCAGCCGCGGUAAUACGUAGGUGGCAAGCGUUAUCCGGAUUUAUUGGGUGUAAAGGGCGUGUAGGCGGGAAUGCAAGUCAGAUGUGAAAACUAUGGGCUCAACCCAUAGCCUGCAUUUGAAACUGUAUUUCUUGAGUGCUGGG
rnacentral:rRNA from 1 species